GUGGAGGGAGGAAGCCACCAGACAAGGACGAGGAACCUGUUGAUGGCUGAGAUUUGUGUGUCUUGUCCCGCCACCUCACUCUAGCUUCGUCUCCUACCGUCCCUUCCGCCACCCUUGCCUCGCCGUGCCGCUGACGCCCUCGCUGGCCUGCGCCUCCUGGGGGUCAUGUCGCGGGGGGCGACGCGCGGGGCGGUGCCGGUGCUGCUUCUGCUGAUGUGUGCGCUAAGUAUCGCCGCGAGACAGAAUGGAACGGACGAACUACAGCAGCAAGAUGAUAAAAGUGAGG